rnacentral:rRNA from 1 species
UACGGAGGGGGCUAGCGUUGUUCGGAAUUACUGGGCGUAAAGGGAGCGUAGGCGGACUCGUUAAGUUGGGUGGAAGACUCGUGGCUCAACCACAGAAUUGCCUUCGAUACUGUUUGGCUUGAGUUUGGUAGAGGUUGGUGGAACUGCGAGUGUAGAGGUGAAAUUCGUAGAUAUUCGCAAGAACACCAGUGGCGAAGGCGGCCAACUGGACCAAUACUGA